rnacentral:rRNA from 1 species
AUACGGAGGGUGCGAGCGUUAUCCGGAUUUAUUAGGUUUAAAGGGUGUGUAGGCGGGAGCCUAAGUCAGUGGUGAAAUCUCACAGCUUAACUGUGAAACUGCCAUUGAAACUGGGGUUCUUGAGUAUAGUUGAGGUAGGCGGAAUGUGUAAUGUAGCGGUGAAAUGCAUAGAUAUUACACAGAACACCGAUUGCGAAGGCAGCUUACUAAGCUAUUACUGACGCUGAUGCACGAAAGCGUGGGUAGCGAACAGAAUUAGAAACCCGGGUAGUCC